GAACGUGCGGGAGCCGUGGGUAAUGGGGCCUGCUCCACCGCCUGUACCUGUGCCUGCCGCCUUCCUGCUGUUCUCUCGACCGAGAACAGCGACGGGAACGGAACCACGACGACGAGCGAUACCCUUCAAGGAUGUGGGCGAUGCGCACGCCCUGGACGUGUCGGUGGCGGAGAGGCGCAUCUACUGGACUGACCAGAAGACCAAGUGCAUCUUCCGGGUCUUUCUCAAUGGCUCCUAUGUGCAGCAGAUCGUGGACACGGGUCUGAUUGGGCCGGACGGCAUCCGAUGGUCCGAUGCGGAGGUUCGUCUCAUCGAGGUCGCCCGCCUGGAUGGCAGCAGUCGGCGCGUGCUCUUGUGGAAGGAGGUGGAGGAGCCCCGGUCCCUGGUCCUCGAGCCGCGCCGCGGCUACAUGUACUGGACAGAGUCGCCUUCGGACUCCAUACGGCGUGCCACGAUGGACGGAUCCGAGCUGCAAACCAUCGUGGCGGGAGCCAACUAUGCGGCCGGGCUCACAUUCGACCAGGAGAGGAGUCGCCUCUACUGGGCCACCCAGUCGCGGCCAGCGAAGAUAGAGAGCGCCGACUGGGGUAAGAAGCACCCGAUACUGGUUUGCAGCGACACCGAUGAGCCGUACUCUGUUUCCCUGUAUCAGGACUACGACUGGAACACCGGCGACAUUGAGCGGGUGCACAAGACGACGGGCGAGAACUCUCGUCAUUCUGAAACCAGGAGCAGUAGAGUGAACAUCGAAAAAUCUUGUUUAAUUUUUAGUUUUGUGUUUGUAGACUGUGCUGCGUCGGCCGCUAUAGCCCUUGCUGUUGACCCUGUUGACCUUUGUGGACGUGUCGCGACGGUGGAUCCUGCAGCAGCUGUCAACCAUACUGCUGAGAUAUAGCCCAUGUCCGUGGAAUCCGAAAAGGCACCCUACCUUUCUGUUCUGUUCAUGAUGGCAGCCAGUAAUUUUUGGCGGACCGGCGACGUCUAGCUCUUCGCCUACUUCUGGUGGAUCAAUCUCUGGAAUUGGUUCAGCCUCCCAGACUGCGCACUGCUCGUCCAAUUUUGCUCUACGGCCACAUGCAAAUCACUGAGGAGGUCGCCAUAGAAAAGCGCCGGUUCGAAGAAGGAAGAAGUAGCGUAGCAAGCAUCCGCUCUGAAGAGGGCAGAUUGUGGUGCCUACAGUGGGGGCGUUGCGAUCUUCCCGCCUUCGAGCGCAGCUGCUGUCUUCUCUACAUCUCCUGCUUCCAUCUGGCGCUUGUUUAUGGCCACCUGAUGAGUUGCAUGGGGCUGAAGGGCUGGAAGAAAAUGGUCGAGCAGGGAGAGUCUGAAAGGAUGAACCAAAUCCUCCUGAUGAUGAAGGGCUGCAAUAAAUUGGAUGCCGGCUGUUAAGGCUUUUGUCGAGUGACAAAUCGAUCACGAUAUAAAGCGGCGAGCUUCUGUCAGAGUGACAUUAGAUAACAGCAUCGAGGAACCACCACCACCAGCAAUCAGCUGUCGCGAUUUAUCGAAGCAGUACCAUCUCAAUUGGAGGAUUUCCCGUGGACGGGUAUUUUAAUAUUCCACCGAAAAUAAUGAAAAUUUAAUAAUUUUAGCGCAGUUCAGUUGCCAGUUAAACGGAAGGAUAGGAUGGAUUUACAAGAAGAAUUUACAAUCAGUAAUAUUUUUCGCCAUUUACUUCAAGUGGUUGAACUGUUUAAAUAAAUAUCAUCACAUUGGCCUUGAGUCAGUUCAAACUCUUGGAAAAAAUGGAAUACGGGUUGGUUUUAUGUGUCUCGUCAGUCUGAAACCAGGAGCAGUAGAGUGAACAUCGAAAAAUCUUGUUUAAUUUUUAGUUUUGUGUUUGUAGACUGUGCUGCGUCGGCCGCUAUAGCCCUUGCUGUUGACCCUGUUGACUUUUGUGGACCUGUCGCGACGGUGGAUCCUGCAGCAGCUGUCAACCAUACUGCUGAGAUAUAGCCCAUGUCCGUGGAAUCCGAAAAGGCACCCUACCUUUCUGUUCUGUUCAUGAUGGCAGCCAGUAAUUUUUGGCGGACCGGCGACGUCUAGCUCUUCGCCUACUUCUGGUGGAUCAAUCUCUGGAAUUGGUUCAGCCUCCCAGACUGCGCACUGCUCGUCCAAUUUUUGCCUGCUCUACGGCCACAUGCAAAUCACUGAGGAGGUCGCCAUAGAAAAGCGCCGGUUCGAAGAAGGAAGAAGUAGCGUAGCAAGCAUCCGCUCUGAAGAGGGCAGAUUGUGGUGCCUACAGUGGGGGCGUUGCGAUCUUCCCGCCUUCGAGCGCAGCUGCUGUCUUCUCUACAUCUCCUGCUUCCAUCUGGCGCUUGUUUAUGGCCACCUGAUGAGUUGCAUGGGGCUGAAGGGCUGGAAGAAAAUGGUCGAGCAGGGAGAGUCUGAAAGGAUGAACCAAAUCCUCCUGAUGAUAAAGGGCUGCAAUAAAUUGGAUGCCGGCUGUUAAGGGUAAUAAAGCUGUAGUCGAACGAA